UACGUAGGGUGCGAGCGUUGUCCGGAAUCACUGGGCGUAAAGAGCUCGUAGGUGGUUUGUCGCGUUGUUCGUGAAAACUCACAACUCAAUUGUGGGCGUGCGGGCGAUACGGGCAGACUGGAGUACUGCAGGGGAGACUGGAAUUCCUGGUGUAGCGGUGGAAUGCGCAGAUAUCAGGAGGAACACCGGUGGCGAAGGCGGGUCUCUGGGCAGUAACUGACGCUGAGGAGCGAAAGCGUGGGGAGCGAACAGG
rnacentral:rRNA from 1 species